AUUGAACGCUAGCGGCGGGCCUAACACAUGCAAGUCGAACGAGUGGCGGACGGGUGAGUAAUGUCUGGGAACCUGCCUGAUGGAGGGGGAUAACUACUGGAACCGGUAGCUAAUACCGCAUACCAUCAGAUGUGCCCAGAUGGGAUUAGCUAGUUGGUGGGGUGACGGGUCACCAAGGCGACGAUCCCUAGCUGGUCUGAUAGGAUGACCAGGCACACUGGAACUGUGACACGGUCCAGACUCCUACGGGAGGAAGCAGUGGAGAAGAUGGGACAAUGGGCGAAAGCCUGAUGCAGCGAUGCCGCGUGUAUGAAGAGGGCCUUCGGGUUGUAAAGUACUUUCAGCGUGGAGGCGUUACCCGCAGAAGAAGCACCGGCUAACUACGUGCCAGCAGCCGCGGUAAUAC
rnacentral:rRNA from 1 species